rnacentral:rRNA from 1 species
UUAAGCAUCCAUACCACUUUGAAUUUACCAGUUCUCGUCUUAUCACUGAAGUUAGUAACGUCGGGCGCAGUCAGUACUUGUAUGGGCGACCGCCUGGGAACACCGCGUGACGUUGGCG